rnacentral:rRNA from 1 species
UACGAAGGGUGCAAGCGUUAAUCGGAAUUACUGGGCGUAAAGCGCGCGUAGGUGGUUCAGCAAGUUGGAUGUGAAAUCCCCGGGCUAAACCUGGGAACUGCCUCCAAAACUAAUGAGCUAGAGUAAGGUAGAGGGUGGGGGAAUUUCCUGUGUAGCGGUGAAAUGCGUAGAGAUCGGAAGGAACACCAGUGGAGAAGGCGACGACCUGGACUGAUACUGACAAUGAGGUGCGAAAGCGUGGGGAGCAAACAGGAUUAGAUACCCAUGUAGUCC